CCAAUAGCGUAUAUUAAAGUUGUUGCAGUUAAAAAGCUCGUAGUUGAAUUUCGGGGUUCUACCGUUGGUCGGGCAAUAGUCUGUACUGGCGUGUAGAAUUUCUACCUUCUGGGGAACCAUCAUGUUAUUUAUUUAGCGUGGUGGGAAACCAGGACCUUUACCUUGAAAAAAUUAGAGUGUUCAAAGCAGGCUUACGUCUGAAUACAUUAGCAUGGAAUAAUAAAAUAGGACGGUGGUCCUGUUUUGUUGGUUUCUGAAUCACCGUAAUGAUUAAUAGGGAUAGUUGGGGGCAUUAGUAUUAAAUUGUCAGAGGUGAAAUUCUUGGAUUUAUUGAAGACUAACUUCUGCGAAAGCAUUUGCCAAGGAUGUUUUCAUUAAUCAAGAACGAAAGUUAGGGGAUCGAAGACGAUCAGAUACCGUCGUAGUCUUAACCAUAAACUAUGCCGACUAGGGAUCGGACGAUGUUAAUUUUUCUUGACUCGUUCGGCGCCUUACG
rnacentral:rRNA from 1 species